rnacentral:tRNA from 1 species
GUGAGUGUAGUUUAAAACUAGAAUAUUAGAUUGUGAUUCUAAAGAUAAGAGUUAAAAUCUCUUCACUCACC